UAGAGUGGCGGACGGGUGAGUAUCGCGUAGGGAUUUAUCGUUGGGUGGGGGAUAACCGUGGGAAACUGCGGCUAAUACCGCAUGACGCCUGUGGGCCAAAGCCGGUGACGGUGCCUGAUGAGGAGCCUGCGUCCGAUUAGCUAGUAGGUUGGGUAAUGGCUGACCUAGGCUGUGAUCGGUAGCUGGUCUGAGAGGAUGAUCAGCCACACUGGGACUGAGACACGGCCCAGACUCCUACGGGAGGCAGCAGUGGGGAAUAUUGGACAAUGGGCGCAAGCCUGAUCCAGCAAUGCCGCGUGGAUGAAGAAGGUCUUCGGAUUGUAAAGUCCUUUCGGCGGGGACGAUGAUGACGGUACCCGCAGAAGAAGCCCCGGCUAACUUCGUGCCAGCAGCCGCGGUAAUACGAAGGGGGCUAGCGUUGCUCGGAAUGACUGGGCGUAAAGGGCGCGUAGGCGGAUCGUGCAGUCGGGCGUGAAAUUCCUGGGCUUAACCUGGGGGCUGCGUUCGAGACGUGGGGUCUAGAGUUUGGAAGAGGGUUGUGGAAUUCCCAGUGUAGAGGUGAAAUUCGUAGAUAUUGGGAAGAACACCGGUGGCGAAGGCGGCGACCUGGUCCUUGACUGACGCUGAGGCGCGAAAGCGUGGGGAGCAAACAGGAUU
rnacentral:rRNA from 1 species